GGUAAGAUGGCUGAAUUUGAGGUGGUAGACUGUAAAUCUACUUAUGAGAUGUUUCUCUCUUACCA